CGUAGGGUGCGAGCGUUAAUCGGAAUUACUGGGCGUAAAGCGUGCGCAGGCGGUUUUGUAAGACAGAUGUGAAAUCCCCCGGGCUCAACCUGGGACCUGCAUUUGUGACUGCAAGGCUAGAGUACGGUAGAGGGGGAUGGAAUUCCGCGUGUAGCAGCGAAAUGCGUAGAUAUGCGGAGGAACACCGAUGGCGAAGGCAAUCCCCUGGACCUGUACUGACGCUCAUGCACGAAAGCGUGGGGAGCAAACAGGAUUAGAUACCCUGGUAGUCCACGCCCUAAACGAUGUCAACUGGUUGUUGGGUCUUUACUGACUCAGUAACGAAGCUAACGCGUGAAGUUGACCGCCUGGGGAGUACGGCCGCAAGGUUG
rnacentral:rRNA from 1 species